AAAUUAGAUAUUUGUUGAAUCAGGCCAAGACACAGAAAUAUACUGCAUGCCAAAAUGUAAAGGUGACAUGAGUGAUCAAAAGAGAGGGAAAGUGAAAGGUCAAGGGAGAAACUCUCAGCAUGUAGGUACAGAACCAUUUCCAUGAGGUCAGCUACAUUCCAAAGUGGCUGCGGCACUGGAUGGGAGCUGUUGGGACAUGCUGCACAGCCCAAGACAGUCUUUGAAGAUGGCUGGAUGCAUGACCUUGUCAUAUACGUAAAACAUCCACAGACUAACUGGAAAAGGACUUCACCUCAGCCAAAGGCCUUCAAGAGGAUCAAUAUUUCCAGGAUGUUGGUAUUAGCAUCCAUUGUUCGCUGGCUAGAUCUUUUCCAACAGAGCAUGUGACUCUCAUCAUUACAGCAGAGGAAUGCAUUUAUCAAAGUUAAGGAAGUCGUUUGCCAUUCGGAUGGCCCAAGAAGCAUAAAUAUUUAUCAUUGAGCCUUGUGAGAACUCUCUAUUAUAAAAAGAUUGGCUAAUUUCUUAAAACUACUCCUUCAAUAAGGACCCAGGUUAUGUGCCAUGGUAUCUGUAGCUUUCUGGCUGGGUCAGGGUGACCCGCACACAACCCUGGCAGGACGCCCUUGGACACAGUAUUUGCAUCCCUUUGGUGUGCCAAGGUAUCAAGCAUUCACAGUUCACAUUGAAACCACUAAACGAAGAGCUGUGCAAACAGGUCAUCAGUUUCUCCAGAGGGGAAUAAUCUUACAACUGUUACGAAGGGUCAAAGGUAACUUUCAUUUUGAGAUGCUAAUUACUCCAAGAAUUUGAUGCAGGAGGCAGCUGGUUAAAAUGAAUGAGUGCUGAAGCGUUGAAGGGGAAAAUCAAAUAGAUGGUUAUAAUAAAAGUGCAAUAUGCAACCUAAUAAGUAUGCAGAGAAUAAGGGACAAUAUUGUUAAUAAACAUCUAUUAGUC
rnacentral:lncRNA from 1 species